GGUAGCCUGGUUUGAUAGGGUGUGUACGGUAACUUCCUGUUUUGCGUCCUUUAUGAAUGGCAUGGCAUUGGAUUUAGAGUAAUGGCGGCGUGCACGCUGAACAGAUAACGCCAAAUGGGUUCUUGUGACUGCUUUCCUGGAAGGCUGUGAAGACGACGACGAGGGUUUGUGCCAGAUUUGGAAUGCAGUUGUUAUAGCUGCUGUUAGAUGGCAAUGAUGGUUUGUGCCAGCAUUGAGAAAUUGUUGUGGUAGCUGGUGCUAGGAACUGGCCUUUGUCACUGUUUUGAACUACUCUUUUGUAAAGUAUUGCACUUUUGCACAUGAUAUAUUUAGGGUUACUGAACCCUUUUAGUUUCAACUCGUGACCAUCGGAGCCUAUUUAUGUAUUUGUUUAAGACCUUUUCUGGAGAUAUUAAUAAAUGAUAACAAUAAGGAUUAUUGAGGUAGAAACAUUCAUUAUUUAUUUAUUUAAAUCUCCGUUGUAAAUGGGCUUUACAGUUUGGCGUCACGAACAGGAUCUUUAAUUGGUAGCGAGUUGAAAUAAAGUAAAGAGAGGUUUCAAAACAGUGACAUAGGCUGAAGAGUCAAGGAGUGUGGAGUACGAGACAAGGGACUUCGGUGGAACUACUUCAGAAAUAAAGACUGUUGGUGUGUGACUGACUUUCAAAUGAUGGAACAAGAACUUGCUGCGUUGCGGGAAAGGUUGGUUAAGGAGAAAGCUGCGAUGGACGAACUUAAACAACGGAAUGAAGCAUUGACUGCUCAGUUACAACAAGUAACAACAACAAAUCCAUUAGACACUUCACGUUCUCCUUCAGAGGCAGGCUUGGCUUAUUCAGCUGCCUCUUCGGCAUCCACAAGUAAAGUUACAACAUCUGUUGAAGUGAUUUAUGUACCUAAAGAUAAGAAGAUGCUAAUGUUUUCUGGUGAUCCAGGUACUAUUUCUUACCAUCAUUGGGUUGAUGAAGUGCAGAAUUCUAUGAAUUACAGGCAAUACAGAGAGAGAGAACAGGCAGUAUUCCUCUAUGACCAUCUGGAAGGGGGGGCCAAACAAGAGAUAAGAUAUAGCACACCUGAGAGAUGCAAUGAAGAAACAGGAGGAGAAAUUAGAGGGACUUGCACAGCAGGUAGCACGACUUCAAGUUUCGGAAGGGAAACAAGGGCGUAGGCUAAGACAGGAACCCAGAUCAGCAUAGAAUUCAACAAUCUUGUGGUUGGACCUCAGCAAGUCUUUUUGCAGUUGUAUCCAUCAGUGCUAUGCAGACAAGGGAUGACUGUCACAUUGGACAGCUUGGACAAAGUUCACACAGGUUCUCGAGGUAUUCAUCCAGGACAUGACUGUUGGCAUUAUAGUAGUGGGUGACCAAAUUGAGCACCAUCAAUCUGCAGUGAUGUGUUCCUGGUAAUAGAAGAAGAAUUCUUACUAACGUAUCAGCGACUGUAACACGCAUCUCAUGAAAUUGAAGAAUUAGUGAAGGGCAUAGAAAUGGACAUCUUGAUUGUGACUGAGGAGGAGCAAUGGGAAAUGCUUCCAAAAGAAACCAUUGCCGUUGCCAUCAUUUUGGAAGAGCAUCUUGACCUCACCGAUAUAUGUGACGUCCUGAAAGCAUUUGUGCUUUGGAUAGGUCUUCUUUACAUCGUUAACACUGUUUACCCAAAACACAUGAAGCACACUUCCAGUGUUCUCCAAAAACUUUUCAUGAACAUUGGUGGGAGCAGCUGUUCUUAGUGUGUUUACAGGCUACGCAACAUGCUACACUGCAAGAAAUUUAGAAUCCCUCAUCUGUUCUUUUGAUUAAAUGUGAAUUAGUGAAAGGAAUGUAAAUAUGUACUGCAAUUGUUACACAGAAAUGAAAUGUCAAUGUUUAUCUAUGAUUUUAAAGUUAGGGUGUUUAAUUACUAAACACAUUAAUACUAAGUAAGGAGGUUAUCUGUUUUGAAUUCAAAUAAAAUAGCCUUCUGCUGUCACGGUUGUGUCAGAUAGAGACAAACGAAGACGAAAUAUAGUAAACAGUCUUUAAUAUAAUCCAAAAACCAGGGUAAACAGGAACAGCAGGACGACACACACCAAACUUACAACAAGGUCUGACAACAAACACUGAACUGAAUACAACUUAUAAAGGGGUGCAAACGGUACAAGGACAGGUGUGGGUAAUUAACCAAUAAAGACUUAACAAGAAACGGAACAGGAAAACCAUAUAUGGACACAAGGGAGAAACCAACGUAACAGUCCAACGGGGUGUGACAAGGGCAAAAACAACACAGAACGGUCCAAGGGGUCUGACACCUGCAUGUUUUCAGUGUCCAUGAGGCUAUUUUCUGCAGUACUGUUAGAAAAUAGAAACUUGAGUUUUGUGGGCAAAUUACAUAGUUCAGCCAGCUGUCAGUCAGUUGAAUGAACUUAACAUUACAGGUAAGAUGAACUAUUCUUGAAAAAGUAACCUGGCUGCCUCAAAAAUAUAAGUUGAUUCAACAAGAUGCUUUGUUUAGCCAAUUUUUAUUCAGUCUGCACAACUUAUAAAUUUAUUCAACAAAAUGGUUAGUUUAAACAACUAAAUGUUUGUUGGUCUCACUAAGUUUAUGUUGUUUCAACUUACAUUUAGGUUAGCACAACUUUCUCAUCUUGCUGGGCUAACUUAAAAAAAGUUGACUCAGCUUCACCUUUGUUAUCCUAACUAUUAAUUCUAGGUUUAAAGAACUCCAACAUAUGUUUAAACAACAUAAGUUUUUUUAGCUUAUUUAACACAACAUUUUAAGGCAGCCAGGUUACAAAUUAUUUUAAGUUGAAUCAGCUUAUUUGUUUUUACAGUGUACAGAUGGGGGCUUUCUUUGGUGUUGCCAUCCCUCAUAGACCCCAUGCAACCCCUUUGCCACCCUAAAAAUUAUUUUCUAGAUCCGCCCCUGCUUGUAAACACAGUCUAAAAAAGCGGUUCUCAAUUCCCACCACUCUGCAUAUUUCGUAUGUAUUUCUACGACGUUUGUUAUAUUCGAACGUAAGUGCCCUUUGAAGUGAACUUUCCGCCGUGAUUCCAGUUCGAAGUGAGCGUAUAUGUUCCAAUUAGGUCAUUAAAGCGUGCGAGAAAUAAAUUUAAAUUGUAUUUAUUUGCAGAUGCAUUUAUGUCACUCUUCUCUAGUAAGAUUUGUCCGUGUGUGAAGACGUUAAAGGUAGCCGCACAGCGCGAAUCCAUGAAUGAAUGUUCCCGAAGUGAAGUAAACUUCAAUGGAUUUCCCCUGCUCAGGGAGUAGGGAACAAUGAAUACUGUGUAGUUACCAUGUCAGUUGGAACACAAUCAUUCAUAGUGUUUUUUUUUUUUCUUUUUAAUGACAGGACGUAAUUGCUGCUGUACUGUGAAUCUCAAGCACACCUCCAUUCUUUUCAUGGGUGACGGGCAGUUCAAGAUUGCUGUCGUUCAAGAAGUUAAUGACCACAUCCCCUGCUGCGGACGGGAGCUACAAAUACCCAGAGAUGCCACUUCCACUGGAAUUCAUACAAAAUUUUCCUGUGAAGAAAUCCUGAACAAGGGUUGAGAUGAAGGCAACCAAGUAGGUGACGGGCAGUUCAAGAUUGCUGUCGUUUAAGAGGUUUGUGACCACAUCUCCUCUACUGUUGCGGUUGUGAGCUACAAAUAUCCAGCGCAGGCCGCAUUUACGCUGGAGUUCAUACAGAAAAUUUUCCUGUGAAGAAAUCCUGAACGUGGUUUGAGAUGAAGGCAACCAAGUGGCUGCACAGUCCUCCAAGACUCUUGCAUGAACAAUUUCGAAAAUCCAUGUAAUAUUUGAGCUUUUUUUAAAAAAACAAAAAACAAAAUGACACUUGUUAAUAAACACGCAGAUUAAGGGGAAAUAAUACGUCCCUUAUAAUGAAUUUAACUUUUCUAAGGACCUUUCUGGACCUUGAAAGUGGUAGUUGCAUAGACUAUCAGUAGAGGGACAGAAAGCACCUAGAUUUAAUAAAAAACACUCUUUAUUUGUGCUAAAGAUGAAUGAAAGUCUUAUGGGUUUGGAAUGGUAUGAGGGUGAGUAAUUGAUAUAAUUCACAUAUUUGUGUGAACUAUCCCUCUAAACAAUAUUGUUCUCUUAUAGGAAAAAAUGUUUUGAAUUUUGACUAUUUACAGUUUGAAGUUUAAAUUUUGUGACCACUAAUUAUUGCAACACCAGUAUUGUACGAGUGCUCAUGUUUUUUUUUUUUUUUAAUUCUGUCUGUUGCUGUUUAAAGCUAAACUGUCUUUCACAAUACAGCCAUUUUUUCAGCGUUUGACACAUUGUUAAAUGAGUUGAUUUGACUGAGUAAUUGUUUAAUGAAAUCAUUUGUCAUAACCAAUUUAAGGCCGUUGAAAAGCCAUUGAAUGCAUUUUUAAAGGAG